rnacentral:tRNA from 3 species
GGGUGCUUAGCUCAGUGGUAGAGCGAUCGCUUCACAUGCGAUAGGUCGUAGGUUCGAAUCCUACAGUACCCA